AGAGUUUGAUCCUGGCUCAGGAUGAACGCUAGCGGCAGGCUUAACACAUGCAAGUCGAGGGGCAGCGCGGGGCGGCAACGUCCUGGCGGCGACCGGCGGAAGGGUGCGUAACGCGUGAGCGACAUGCCCGUUGCCCGGGGACAACCGGUGGAAACGCCGACUAAUCCCCGAUGGGACGGAGGCCCUCAUGGGUCUCUGUUGAAAGUUACGGCGGCGACGGAUUGGCUCGCGUCCGAUUAGCUUGUUGGCGGGGUAACGGCCCACCAAGGCUACGAUCGGUAGGGGUUCUGAGAGGAAGGUCCCCCACAAUGGAACUGAGACACGGUCCAUACUCCUACGGGAGGCAGCAGUGAGGAAUAUUGGUCAAUGGGCGGAAGCCUGAACCAGCCAUGCCGCGUGCGGGAAGGAGGCCCUAUGGGCUGUGAACCGCUUUUGCCUGGGGGCAAUAAGGGCGUCGCGCACGUCCGAUGAGAGUACCAGGGGAAUAAGCAUCGGCUAACUCCGUGCCAGCAGCCGCGGUAAUACGGGGGAUGCGAGCGUUAUCCGGAUUCAUUGGGUUUAAAGGGUGCGUAGGCUGUGCGUCAAGUCAGGGGUGAAAUUCCGGGGCUCAACUCCGGGGCUGCCCUUGAUACUGUCGCGCUGGAGUGCGGAUGCCGCCGGAGGAAUGAGUGGUGUAGCGGUGAAAUGCUUAGAUAUCACUCAGAACACCGAUUGCGAAGGCAUCUGGCGAAUCCGUAACUGACGCUGAGGCACGAAAGCGUGGGGAUAGAACAGGAUUAGAUACCCUGGUAGUCCACGCCGUAAACGAUGAUGGCUAACCG
rnacentral:rRNA from 1 species